rnacentral:rRNA from 1 species
GACUAACGCUGGCGGCGCGCCUAACACAUGCAAGUCGAGCGAUGAAAUUUUAACCGAUCUCUUCGGAGAGAAGAUAAAAUGGAUUAGCGGCGGACGGGUGAGUAACACGUGAGAAACCUGCCUUUCACAAGGGGAUAGCCUCGGGAAACCGGGAUUAAUACCCUAUGACACAUUUCCUUCGCAUGGAAGAAAUGUUAAAACUCCGGUGGUGAAAGAUGGUCUCGCGCCUGAUUAGCUAGUUGGUGGGGUAACGGCCCACCAAGGCCAUGAUCAGUAACCGGCCUGAGAGGGUGAACGGUCACAUUGGAACUGAGACACGGUCCAAACUCCUACGGGAGGCAGCAGUGGGGAAUAUUGCACAAUGGAGGAAACUCUGAUGCAGCGACGCCGCGUGAGCGAUGAAGGCUUUCGAGUCGUAAAGCUCUGUCCUAUGGGAAGAUAAUGACGGUACCAUAGGAGGAAGCCCCGGCUAACUACGUG